GACGAACGCUGGCGGCGUGCUUAACACAUGCAAGUCGCACGGGGCCCGCAAGGGUUCAGUGGCGGACGGGUGCGUAACACGUGAAGAACUUGUCCAUCGGUGGGGGAUAGCCGGCCCAACGGCCGGGUAAUACCGCGUACGUCGGCGGGAACGCAUGUUCCUGCCGGGAAAGCAGCAAUGCGCCGAUGGAGAGCUUCGCGGCCUAUCAGCUUGUUGGUGGGGUAAUGGCCUACCAAGGCAACGACGGGUAGCUGGUCUGAGAGGAUGAUCAGCCACAUUGGGACUGAGACACGGCCCAGACUCCUACGGGAGGCAGCAGUGGGGAAUAUUGCGCAAUGGGCGAAAGCCUGACGCAGCGACGCCGCGUGCGGGAUGAAGGCC
rnacentral:rRNA from 1 species